GUUCGGACUUCUUCGGCAAUCUUCGGGACGUCGUUCUAGGAUUGGAUGCUACUGUGAGUUUUUUUUGUCUUUUGGAGAAGCUAUUAAGUGGAGAGUUAAAAAGCAUUAAAGAAGCAUUGGAAAUCGAAAUUGAAGAUAUAUUAAUUUGCAAAGUUAUAUUUGAUUUUCUAAGGCCUACAAUAUGGAGCAGAAGACUAUAAAGUGUGGUGAUGUUGGUGAGAUCAAUGUUUACGUACAGGGAAAUAGGUCGAGCAAUGAAAAGGUCAUCUUUACCGUGCACGACCUUGGCUGCAAUUAUUUACAAUACGACGAUUUUAUCAAUCAUGAGAGAAUGCAGCCGAUCAGGGACAGAACUGUAUGGGUUCAUGUUGCUGUACCCGGACAGGAAACGGACGCGUCGGAUUUACCAUCGACAUAUUCUUUCCCGACAAUGCAAAAACUCGGAGAAAGUCUGAUUCAUAUUCUUGAUGAGUUAAAAAUUAAAGAAGUACUCUGCUUUGGUGAGGGAGCGGGAGCAAAUAUCCUUGCGAGAUUUGCGUGUAAACAUUCGGAUAGAGUGAUGGGAGUUGUACUGCUUCACUGUACAGGCACUACGGCAGGUUUAAUGGAAUCACUUAAAGAUAAAGUUAUAAAUUGGAAACUGGAACAUAUUGGAAUGAAUCCAACUGCUGAGCAAUAUUUGGUACUUCAUCGUUUCGGUUCGAGCAGUUCAAAGUUUAACACAGCGGAAAAUGCGGAGCAAUUGAAACAAGUUAUUGCUAACUUUCAAGAAGAACUUCGGCAACACGUAAAUCCGAAGAAUUUGAAGAAAUUUGUUGAAGCUUUUCUAAAGAGAACAAGUAUCGCCGACAAAAUCACUCAUUUAAAAUGCCCUAUGCUGUUGGUAACCGGCCAAAAAUCCGUGUUUAGCGGAACGACAAACUCUCUUGCCCAAACCGUUUCUAGACACGCUUCAGUAAAGGACCUGGUGAAUUUUAUCGAGGUUAAGAGGGUUGCCAACGUUUUGGAAGAAGCGCCAGAAAAGAUGGCUGAGAGCUUUCAGUAUUUCAUCCAAGGUUUGGGGUGGGCUUCAGGAAUACCGAUGGUUCAUGUGGAACGACCACCAAAGAGCAGACUACGAUCAAUGUCAAUGGAAGUCUACGAUCAGCCGAAACUGAGAUUGCGCUCGAUGUCAGGAGGGGAGAACGAUAUUAGUCAAAUGUAAAAUUUCAUUACGCCGUCAACAAGCGUUUCUUCUGGCGUUCCAAUGCCGUCAAAUCCACCGAUAACUAGAAAUCGUUCGAUGAGCAUGGAGGAAUAUGAUCUACCGUUGCGCAUGCGUUCUACUUCUGGAGGAGGAUCUUCAUGCGGAUCACCAACUUGCGUUUAAUCUGUCUAUCGAUAUCAGUUUUGUUUGUUUGUUUGUUUUUUUGUAUUUUAGUUAAAUUUUUUUUAUAGAAACUCUGAUGAAUUCUUUAAAAAAGUCUUUUGUUUUUUCUUUCUUUAUUUCUUACUACGUUUGUUUAAAAUUAUUGUUAGAUGUUGUGUUUAUUAAAGUUUAGACACAAAAUAGUUUAUAGUAGUGCAAAAAACAGGUUGUGGUGUGUAAAAAAAAGAAAGAAAAUCUCAAAUAUUUUCUUUUAAAUACA
rnacentral:misc_RNA from 1 species